UAAACCUGGUGGAGAGCAUAUAAUAAAUGAAUACAACCGAUUUAAGACUUUGGGAGAUGAAACGAGGAGGAAAAUGGUGAACAUCCUGGCAGCUGACAUGACAGAAAAGAAUGGUACAUCACCACCAAGGCAGGUUAAAGAAAAAUAUGCCAGAGGAAUUGUCUCUUUGUUCCCUUACCUCAGUGACCCCUUGUCCAAAAAAGGCUAUGAGCAUUACUAUGAUGGUGAGAGUGGCACUGGGUACUUGGCAUGGAGAAUCAAAACUAUACAAAGAGGCCUGGCUAAAGAACGAAGAGCAUCAUUUG